GGCAAUCUUGGUAACCAGUUACUUAGCCCGUUAUAAGUGAAGACGGAAAAUUUGACAUGUGUGUGCAUAUAUCGUACACAACUAACUUGACAUUUGAAGUGUAAUGACUGUGUGUGAAUAUUCCUAAACCCUAAAAUUCCUAUUGUGUUGAAAGUUUAUAAUAUAUGGAACAUAGACGACCAUGCUUAGCCAACCAGGCAGAAGAGAAGGUUAAUAAUUCAUCCACGAAGUCUGGUCCAUACUCCUUUCUUACAAUGCUUGUAAAUGACGUCAACAUUCCUUUGUGUACAAUCUUUGUAAAUGCGUGACUAUAUUAUCGGAGAGUAGUUGAUUAGUAUCACACAAGUACCAUUUCAGAUUACAUUUUCAUCACUACUUGUACUUUUGGAUGGACUUUACUUGCUAUUUUGUUGAUCCAAUUUUAUGCAUCAUCAUAAGGACUAAAAUGAAAAAUUUCUCAAAUUACAAGGACCAACAAUGUAAAUUUACCUAUUAAUAUUAUGCUCAUAGCUUUGUUAAUUUUCUGUGCAAUUUAAAUGUGGUUGGAAAUUUUUACGUCCAAAAAAAAAAAAAGAACAAAAUGAUGUUUGCUUUACUAGUCUUUUUUCCUACCAUUGCUUGAUCAAUCAUAUAAAUAGGGCUCUCUGCGUUGCAGGACCACAUUUGAGAUAACAAUUUUGAAUUUGCAUGGCUGACCAUUUGCUCUUGCUUCACUAAUGAUUGCCAUUAUGUCUUUCUCGUUUUAACAUGCAGCAUCAUCCAUUCCACUUGUUGUAUUAUACGAAACACUAACUACGCUUGUUAGAGCAUCUUCACGAGGAGAAAAACUUGUACUGAGUUUCCGACCACAUUAUUGGUAGGACAUCUCUUAUUGAAACUCUAGACGAUGUAAGAUUUGUCCUGAUCAGACUAUCUCAAACGAGGCAAACUAGAACCAUAUUGAAUUAGGUUAAAAACAAGGGAAAGUUUGCUUCAAGGGUUUUGAAAAGGUAAGGUUGCCUUUUGGAAUUUCUACUAUAUUGAACAUGAUCCUAACAAACAUGGGAAAAUCUUGACCCAAGUUUUUAUCUUAUGUAAAGACAGGAACAUUUUCCUACAUCUUAUAAACAUGGGAAAAUCUUGAGUUGGAAUUUUAUCAUUUACAAUGAAUUGUAUAGAAAUUUCUCUCUUCUCAAAGUUUGAAGAGAUCCCAAGUUCAAAUCCAUCCGCUCGACCAAAGAACAAAAAGAAAAGAAACAAUGUUACCAUAAUCAAUACAUAAUACUAAGAGCCCACUUCUAUUGGGGUCUGGCUACAAUACUACGUCUCACUCAAUAGUACGGUUUACAAUUCAUAUGCAAGACUUAAACUAUUGAUUUUCGGACCACUAAGGUCCCGUUUGGGAUUGAGGUGAUUUUAAAAAAAGCCACUGUGAAAAAAAGCUGAGGGUCAUUUUUGUGUUUGGUAAACUGAAAAAAAAUGGCUUAUUUUGGAAGCUGCUGUGAGAAUAAGCUGAAAAUCAAAGGAAAAGCUGAAGCUGCUAUUUGCUGCUUUGAAAAAAAGCCAGUUUUUUCAAAGCACACGGAGCUACAGUGCUCCUUUAAUGAAAAGACACACUAUCAUCCUGAUUUUUUUUCCAAAAGCACUUUCACAAAAGUUUACCAAACACUCUACUGGCUUUAUUUCACAGCCGCUUAUUCUCACAGCACAGCCGCUUAUUCUCACAGCAGCUUUUUUUCAAAACACAGCAAUACCAAACCAGCCCUAAGUAGUAUGUACCAUAUAAGAAAAAAUAGGAAAAACAAAAAGAUAAAGAUUGAAGGAUCCAAAGUGUUCCAAU
rnacentral:lncRNA from 1 species